UUAAUUCUUCUCGUGCCCUAGCCAUCAGCUUCGCCGAACCCCUCUCCCUCCCGCACCGACUCCUCUUUCUCCCUCUCUUUCGCACGAUCGACGCCGACGACCCUCUCAUCGCCGAUGUUGAUCUACCCUCUUCGAUCACGAGCGGGAAGUGGUCCCUCUCCAAGCUUCCUCGCGUCGUCACAGACACCGUAGGGCCCGAUUCUGGCCUUCCCUCUGCCCUAGUGCCGGCCGCCCGAUCCACUGCCACCUCUAACCAUGACAAGAGCUAGCUAGCAAGUGCAUUCCUUUAUGUUGAUAUGGAUUGGAUGAGGAUUUGAGUUGGAUGUGAUCUUUUGGAUCUUGUUGAAGAUGGUUGACAUGAGCUAUGAAUAAAGACGGGUACUUCUUACUUUGUCUCUUUAGUUCUUUGAACUUGGUGCAUGAGCUAUUUUUGGAUAAGGACUGUUUUACCUUAACUCCACUCUUAUUUUUCCUACGCUUGAUACUUCCACUCGAUCUUUGAGAUAUUCAUUUCUAUAUCUAUACAAUCUCUCAUUGUUAUCUAUGAUACGUAGCAGAUACUAGAUACCAUGUUUUCAUGUUUGAUUGUUGUUUAUUUAUGUACUGUAUUGAGCAUGCUGACUUCAUGUAGCUUACCUAAUUUCUGCUUAUAUUUGUAUGAUGACUGUUGCAUCUUGCGCAUCAUAUCAUUGCAUGUAUGUCAACGAUAAAUUCUUCCUUGUGGUCGAGAGAGUUGUUGACCAGGGUCGCACGCUCGGCCACUCGAGAGAGUGGUAUCUGGAGAAGAUGUCGCUUGUCCUGUCGCGUCGCACUCGACCACUCAUGGGUAGUGGUAGCUGGAGUUACGAGCAUCAGGGACCCCCGCCGCAGACGUAGCUAGUUAGCUACUAUGCAACUGUCCCCUCGGCCACUUGAGAACAGUGGUAGCUGAAGUGGUGUACAGUUUGUCACUGACCCGACCUCUCAACCAUACAGGAGUCAUGGUGCAGAGAGGUGGGUGGGAGUUACCAUCCGUACAUACCCUGUUGUUAUACUUGCUUUGGCUGCUGUUAUUUACAUAUGUUGUUAUUGCUUACUUAUGUUGCUGUGGUAUACUAUGCUGCCAUCGUUUACUGCUGUUGUGCACUUAUGCUGUUAUGCUUACUUAUGUUGAGAUAUAUAUCUGUUGUAUGUGUUUAUACUGACUUACCUAUUGGUAAUAUGCAUAUACCUCACAUAUUACCCUUGUAGUUAUGAGUAGCUCUGUAGCAGAAUUGUUCUACUCCUGAUUUUACUAGCCUAGGAUAUGGUUAUAGGUACGAACAUUUAUUGUGAUUUUACUUUAGUAUUUGCUAUUUCUUUUAUGAGACUAUAUACUGUUGGCACUCUCUAUUUGUAUGUUAUGUUCAUACACUAUCUUUUCUAUACCCGCUGAGUCCCAGUACUCACCACCCCACAAACUAGUUUUUCUUUCACCAGGUAACAGGUAGAUAAAUCAAGGAUGCUUGGAGAGUCCUAGCUGCCAGUCCCACUACACUCUCGAGGAUGGAUUUCUUUUCAGUCUUGUUUCUGUUUGGUGGUAUAUUGAUUUUGCAUUUUUUUUGUAAGUUGAUGUGGGUUUGGAGUCUAGUCCGAUGGUUACAGGUUUUGUGGUUAAUGACUUUUGUUAGUCAUACAUUCGUGUUUCUUUGUGAUUUCCGCUGUGUUUAUUUCUAGCCGUGUGAGCUGUUGUUUACUACAUGAUUGUUUUCAUUU